UAGAGUGAUCGAAAGAUGAAAAGCACUUUGGAAAGAGAGUCAAACAGCACGUGAAAUUGUUGAAAGGGAAGCUCUUGCUGCCAGACGUGCCGCGGUCGNUCAGCCGCCCCCCCGGGGUGGUGCACUCGGCCGCGGCGGGCCAGCGUCAGUUCGGGCGGUCGGAGAAAGGCCCGGGGAAGGUAGCUCUCUGCGGGGAGUGUUAUAGCCCCGGGCGUCAUGCGGCCAGCCCGGUCUGAGGCCCGCGUUCGCGAGGACGCUGGCGUAAUGGUCGCAAGCGACCCGUCUUGAAACACGGACCAAGGAGUCUAACAUCUGUGCGAGUGUUCGGGUGUCAAACCCGUGCGCGUAAUGAAAGUGAACGGAGGUGGGACCCCCGUCUUGGGGCGCACCAUCGACCGAUCCUGAUGUCCUCGGAUGGAUUUGAGUAAGAGCAUAGCUGUUGGGACCCGAAAGAUGGUGAACUAUGCGUGUUUAGGGUGAAGCCAGAGGAAACUCUGGUGGAGGCUCGCAGCGGUUCUGACGUGCAAAUCGAUCGUCAAAAAUGCGUAUAGGGGCGAAAGACCAAUCGAACCAUGAGAGUGCUUGGGGCGCGAGCCCGCGCAGCGCGAAUUGAGCAGUAAUUCUUUGCGUCUACUAGGUGGUUAGGAGACCGGUACGGUCUAGUUGCUAGACUUGCCCUCGCGGGCGGCAAGACCCUAGAAGCAACGUCACCUAAAUGCAGGAACGUCUCGCUAGCCGACUGACUACCGCCGUUCUUAGAGGAGGGUGGCACCGGCGUAUUAGAUGCUGGGUACGGUAAAAACGCCAGCCGGUGGAGAUGACCCGCAGCCAGGCCCCUAGGCGACAGUCGUAUCUCGCCAGGGGUCCAGUUCACAGGCUAUACGGUGACGGGCAGAGAACCCUCCGCAGACAUUCGCAGGCGUCUCUGCUCAAGAUAUAGUCGAAUUCCCCCCCGUAAGGGGGGGUGCAAGCGGCAGGUGAGAAGAACCAAUAAGGCUAGUAGCUGGUUCCCGCCGAAGUUUCCCUCAGGAUAGCAGUAACGUCCGCAGUUUUAUGAGGUAAAGCGAAUGAUUAGAGGCCUUGGGGUUGAAACAACCUUAACCUAUUCUCAAACUUUAAAUAUGUAAGAAGCCCUUGUUGCUUAAUUGAACGUGGGCCGUCGAAUGCACCGUUACUAGUGGGCCAUUUUUGGUAAGCAGAACUGGCGAUGCGGGAUGAACCGAACGCGAGGUUAAGGUGCCGGACUGCACGCUCAUCAGACACCACAAAAGGUGUUAGUUCAUCCAGACAGCCGGACGGUGGCCAUGGAAGUCGGAAUCCGCCAAGGAGUGUGUAACAACUCACCGGCCGAAUGAACUA
rnacentral:rRNA from 1 species